CUAAUACAUGCAACUAUACCCCAACGCAAGGCGGGGUGCAAUUAUUAGAACAGACCAAACGUUUUCGGACGUUGUUUGUUGACUCUGAAUAAAGCAGUUUACUGUCAGUUUCGACUGACUCUAUCCGGAAAGGGUGUCUGCCCUUUCAACUAGAUGGUAGUUUAUUGGACUACCAUGGUUGUUACGGGUAACGGAGAAUAAGGGUUCGACUCCGGAGAGGGAGCCUUAAAAACGGCUACCACGUCCAAGGAAGGCAGCAGGCGCGAAACUUAUCCACUGUUGAGUAUGAGAUAGUGACUAAAAAUAUAAAGACUCAUCCUUUUGGAUGAGUUAUUUCAAUGAGUUGAAUACAAAUGAUUCUUCGAGUAGCAAGGAGAGGGCAAGUCUGGUGCCAGCAGCCGCGGUAAUUCCAGCUCUCCUAGUGUAUCUCGUUAUUGCUGCGGUUAAAAAGCUCGUA
rnacentral:rRNA from 1 species